UGAAAUUGAACUCGCUGUGAAGAUGCAGUGUACCCGCGGCAAGACGGAAAGACCCCGUGAACCUUUACUAUAGCUUGACACUGAACAUUGAGCCUUGAUGUGUAGGAUAGGUGGGAGGCUUUGAAGCGUGGACGCCAGUCUGCGUGGAGCCGACCUUGAAAUACCACCCUUUAAUGUUUGAUGUUCUAACGUGGAUCCGUAAUCCGGGUUGCGGACAGUGUCUGGUGGGUAGUUUGACUGGGGCGGUCUCCUCCUAAAGAGUAACGGAGGAGCACGAAGGUUGGCUAAUCCUGGUCGGACAUCAGGAGGUUAGUGCAAUGGCAUAAGCCAGCUUGACUGCGAGCGUGACGGCGCGAGCAGGUGCGAAAGCAGGUCAUAGUGAUCCGGUGGUUCUGAAUGGAAGGGCCAUCGCUCAACGGAUAAAAGGUACUCCGGGGAUAACAGGCUGAUACCGCCCAAGAGUUCAUAUCGACGGCGGUGUUUGGCACCUCGAUGUCGGCUCAUCACAUCCUGGGGCUGAAGUAGGUCCCAAGGGUAUGGCUGUUCGCCAUUUAAAGUGGUACGCGAGCUGGGUUUAGAACGUCGUGAGACAGUUCGGUCCCUAUCUGCCGUGGGCGCUGGAGAACUGAGGGGGGCUGCUCCUAGUACGAGAGGACCGGAGUGGACGCAUCACUGGUGUUCGGGUUGUCAUGCCAAUGGCACUGCCCGGUAGCUAAAUGCGGAAGAGAUAAGUGCUGAAAGCAUCUAAGCACGAAACUUGCCCCGA
rnacentral:rRNA from 1 species